rnacentral:lncRNA from 1 species
UUUGCCUGGGGCAAGGUGGAUUGCUCAAGGGACCUGAAACUUGUUUUUGAAUGUUGAAUCAUUUGCAAAUGACGUAUUAAUUGAAAACUUGAAACCCAUGAACUUUCAAUAGGACCCGGCUAUUAAUAUUUCAUGCUGGCUUGAAUUUAACUCAGAUUCAAAGAAAGAACUACACAUAUGUUAAUCUUCUCUUCCAAAUCCAGAAUAUCUGGUUGCCAACUAAUACAUUUAUUGUGCAGGACUUUGUCAAGAAGUGGAUCAGCGCGUAAUGCGCAAUAACAAAUAGCCCGACUGCAAUAGCCAGGAGCUGUUCUCCAUAGACCUUGUAUUGGGUUCUUAGUUCAUCUGGUUCUCGAAAAUUUAUCUUUUUUAUGAUUGAUGUAAAACUGUAAAAAGCAUGCAAAUGGGUGUUCGUCUGGGAAAAAAGUAAAAUGUCGACAAAGCUGAAAGCCAUCAGAAUAACUUGGUAUGCUCCUGACAUAGAAUGUUUGCCCGCUGAUUAGAAAUCAAGAAACUGAGGAUGUGCAAGUUUAACUAACUGUUUGGCAGAUUUAUUUCUAGUGGAAGUUGUAAUGUUGUAUAGGAAUGUUGUUGGCAUUUCCAGUGCCCGACUUUUUUCUUUCAUAUUUGCAGUCUAUAUUUUGUAAUCUGCAGCUAGCGCGUGUCAUCCUACGGGUUUGUUUGUUGAUAUUUUUAUAUCAGAUAAAGCAUCAGAUAUUCUUCUCUCUUUUUUGUCAAUAACUUUCACGUUCCAUGUUAUUUCAAUAUUUUCUUGGUAAAACGAUAUUCACUUCAACAUUUCAAUGCGGAUAUCGUGUUUGGUUGAAAGGAUUGAGAUCCUG